GAUGAAGAACGUAGCGAAAUGCGAUAAGUAAUGUGAAUUGCAUAAUUCAGUGAAUCAUCGAAUCUUUGAACGCACAUUGCGCCCGCUAGUAUUCUGGCGGGCAUGCCUGUCCGAGCGUCAUUUCAACCCUCAAGCCCCCGGGCUUGGUGUUGGGGAUCGGCGAGCCUCCGCGCCCGCCGUCCCCUAAAUCUAGUGGCGGUCUCGCUGUAGCUUCCUCUGCGUAGUAGCACACCUCGCACUGGGAAACAGCGCGGCCACGCCGUUAAACCCCCAACUUCUGAACGUUUGACCUCGGAUCAGGUAGGAAUACCCGCUGAACUUAAGCAUAUCAAUAAGCGGAGGA
rnacentral:misc_RNA from 1 species